AUACUUCUAAUCCUUCUUUUGAACAUGUACAAAGCACAAGAUAUUAUUCAAUUAAAUCAAGUAACAGAAGCUGAACCUGGAGAUACAGUGACUUUAGAUUGCUUUUUCCAUGUGGCUUUCGAAAAUGAAGCACUGUCCUGGUACAAACUAUCGCUGGGACGGAAGCCUGUUUGGGUGGCUAGGUCUUAUAGAGGAACUUCAUCCUGGAAUCCUUUGUUUUCUGAAGACUCUCAAAAUGGACGGAUGAACAUACAGAUUUCUAAAGGAACAUUUAAUCUGACCAUCGCAAAGAUCACAUCAUCUGAUGAAGCAACAUAUUAUUGCAUUGGGACAGCGUAUCAAGAGGUUACAUUUGGAAAUGGAACGUUUUUGGCUCUCAAAGGUAAUACAUGUGUGUUUCAACAGAACACCCCAACAAUUCAGGAGUAAUGAGUCAUUUCACCCUCUUUAACUUUUCCUAUUUUCUUUAAAAUAUAGGACACAGACAAAUGAACACUGAAAAGAAGACAGUUUUGAACACAGGUAUUUGUUUUCAUCAAAUAUGAAAUAUGAUUAUUGCAGAUAUGGAACAUUGUUGCAGCAUGUAGCAGCAUUAACAGAUUCUUGACGCAUGUUAUUUUAUGAUGUGCCACAGUGAAGUGUCUUUUCAUACAGCAUGUUGUUUUCUGCUGUUUUUCAGAAAAAGCUGUGGAUCCUGUUGUUUAUGGGUUGGCUGCUGUGUCGGGACUGUGUUUUGUGCUCAUAUGUUCCUUAAUUUACCAAGACAGGAAACACAAACAUGACAAAGGUAUAUCAUCUGUGAGAUCAAAUAUGCUGUAAAUAUAAUUGAAUUUAAUUGAUUAUCAAAUUAUCAUGUAAUGUUGAGAGAAUCGAGCCACCCUUGUUAUUCAGUUUUUCAUGUAUUUAAUGUUUUUAAGAAGUGAAGUCUCAGCAAGUUCACACAGACAGGUCCUUCAAAGAUCCAUCAAGUGGGCAGGUACAAAACAUAAUGGCAUCCUUAUAAUGUUCAGAUACAUAACGGAGUAUAUUAAAUUUGUCUGAUUUCAUGUAAGUCAAAAUCUAAAGCCUUGAACUCAGAAUCUUGAUGUUCAGAAAGAGCUAACAUGUAGGCCUAACUGUUUUUUGCCCAGGAUGCUGAAGAACAGAUCAACUAUGCUGCCUUGCACUUCUCUGAUAAGAAACUGAAAAGAGGAAAGAAGAACAGAGAACUGCCACGUGAGAGCAUAUACUCUGAUGUCAGAGGUUAAGGAAUGUAUCAAACCACUUUUGGAUAGCCUUCAAGCCUGUAAUUUAAUCCUUUUUAAAAUUGUAUCCUUCAUAAAUAAUAAAUCAGAAUAUAAGGCGAAGGAAACCUCA
rnacentral:lncRNA from 1 species